UACAGAGGUGGCAAGCGUUGUUCGGAAUUACUGGGCGUAAAGGGCGCGUAGGCGGCCUACUAAGUCAGUCGUGAAAUCUCUAGGCUCAACCGAGAAACGUCGGCUGAUACUGCCGUUCUUGAGGGAUGCAGAGGAGACUGGAAUUCCCGGUGUAGCGGUGAAAUGUGUAGAGAUCGGGAGGAACACCGGUGGCGAAGGCGGGUCUCUGGGCAUUUCCUGACGCUGAGGCGCGAAAGCGUGGGGAGCAAACGGG
rnacentral:rRNA from 1 species